UACGUAGGGGGCCAGCGUUGUCCGGAAUCAUUGGGCGUAAAGCGCGCGUAGGCGGCCAGGCAAGUCCGGUGUGAAAGUCACAGGCUCAACCUGUGAAUGCCGCUGGAAACUGUCUGGCUAGAGUCCGGAAGGGGCGAGUGGAAUUCCUGGUGUAGCGGUGAAAUGCGCAGAUAUCAGGAGGAACACCGGUGGCGAAGGCGGGUCUCUGGGCCGUAACUGACGCUGAGGAGCGAAAGCGUGGGGAGCGAACAGG
rnacentral:rRNA from 1 species